CUCUGUAUCACACAUCUCCCAACACCUACUUAAUUAUUGUUGUUGUUGUUACUUGGUACUUCCUGCAGUGCACAUAUAUUCUCUGUAAUUUUAUCUUUCAACGUGUGUUAUUUUAGUGUUUUGACUGGUCUAUGCAUUUCAUAAUUUUUAUUUCUCUUUCAUAAAAUUUAUUACACUUUUAUAUUUUAAUUAUUUGACCAGUGAGUUCUAAAAUGCGUAACCUGUCCUGGCUGGAGUAAUUAUCCCUACUGGUAACUUUUAAAAAAUAUAUAUCUAGGUUUUUUGUUUCUACUGGUGGUGCAGAUUCCGCACAUUACCUUGGUGCAAAUAACAAAAUUUAUUCCGCACAUGGGUGAAAAAAUUAAAGGGAACAUUAUCAACAAUCCAGGGUGGGGUUUUUUUGGUUUUUAUUUUUUUGAGGCUAGUACGGCUGUCUAGAUUGUUGUUGUUGUUAAUUUAAAAGCUCAGAAGUCCCUAACCUUUAUGAUUGCAGAGACAACCUCCAAAUCAAGUGCAACCGAUGCUGUGACACUUGUUGAAUUUGAGAAUGCUGCCAUAUAUAAGCCUUGAGCUCCCAGCAUCCUUCACAUUUAUGUCAAUGGAACUACAAGGAGGAGAACAUCACUCUUAGAGAAGAAUGAGAGGUUGACCCAGAGGCGGAUUUGAGAACUGGCUUCUUUAUUGGGAUACUUGUUCCCCUGAACCCAAUUGUCGAGUGAUAUACUGUGGCUAUGUGACAUACGUGAUGUAACUGAAACACGAUCGUUGGCAGAUAACUCAAACUAUAGAAAAUGAUGGUAAUCUUGAAGGUGGAUAGUCUUCAGAAUCCUGUAUGUUAAGGAUGGAUUCUCCGAAACAAAAUAAGUCAAUGCAGUUAUUUAAUUAUUAUUACCAUACUCAUUGCAUUCACUGACACUCAGUACUACUUUAAAGGUGAAAUUGUAAAAGGAAGAUCUGCCUCUUUCAGCAAUUUAUUUUUUUAAUCACAACUGCAUGUAAAAUGAUAGUACCAUAGAAUAACAACUAUACUUUUUGCUCAAACAUGAGAAUUCAAGAAUAGUCCAGAAGGAAGACAGGCAGUCCUUAAGAAAGAAGUAUGAAAUAAUAAAGUUUACCAAUCUGAAGAUCCUGCAUGUUCAGACAUGUUCCUUUCAUGAUCUUCAACGCAGCUACCUCCUGAGAAGGAACACUUCUCAUGAUGUUGUUUCAUUUGGGCAACCAGGGCUUACAUUUCUUUGUUGCACUGUUUGCAUUUUGCACGCAUGCCUGUCUUAUCCACAGGUACAGGAACUUCAUUAAAAUAUUCACAAACUGGGUCUCUUUUACGGCCUGCUGCCAUUAUAAGUUUUCCCUUCUAGUGAGAGAAUGGUAUGGUAGAUCUCAAAUCAAUAAAGGUUACACUCAGAAAGACCUCAAGACUUCUGGAAUAGGCUGCUCAGACAGUUUCACUUUUUUCUAUUACCUGUCCCUCCCUUCUCACAUUUAUCUCCAGACUUAUCCUUGUCCAGAUCAAUUACGCCCCCAACAAUCUUCUAUUCAUUGAACUUUUUGAAACUUUGCACUUUUAGAGAGAGGUAAGGGAUUGACUCUGUGUACACAAAUUUGCGGAGGGACAAUAGGGUUGAGGUCUGUUGUUUCUCACCUGUUGAUAUAUUUAUUUAUUUUGAAACAUUUUUGCUGUUAACAAGCAUGUUAUCUCUGGAGAGACAAAUCCACAGUUUGAGAACGGCAAAACUAAGCAUCUCUGAUGGUAUCUUCCAGACUGAGCACUGAGUCCCAGUGGGUAGAUAGAAAGAUUAACCUAAAUAAUCUAUACAGAAGCCCCUGGAACCCCAUAAUAUUGGAUCCCUAAUCCAUGAACUAUUGGAACUCAUUUACAAAACUUUUCUUAAACAUUACAUGACUAUAUUGUCCCAUACUAUAGAAUUAAUAAUCCCUAUUCCAUGAUGAGAUAUCUUUGAGCUAUAAUGAAUCUUAAUUAAAAUUAUCUUAAGAUAGGUUUUUUUUCCCCUCAAAAAAAUCUGAUUUAAAUUUAAAAAAAAAAUCCAUUUUUUUAAAUCAUUGAUUUUUAACCACCCUGGAGAGAUAAUAAUCUACUGCAUGUGGGUUCAGUAACUCAAGGGACUAACUAAAGUCAAAGGGCCCAAUGCAGGCCACAGAUAGACCUAUACAGCCCUUCAGGAAAUCACUGGAAGCUGUGCAUGCAUGUCUAAGGACAGAAUGAAGCCCAGAAGGUCAAGAUGAGAAUGCAGCUUUGAUAAGUUUUUUUUUCUGUAGUAUUGAAACUCAUAUGUUCGUAGAGUGAAUAUCUGGUCUGUGCAUCCACGCCCCUUCUGAAACUCAUAGACUUUUGCUGGCUGGUAACAGCUCUUGUUGUAUACAGUAUGUCUUAUUGCUUACUUUGAAGUCUCUUGACUCUCCCAGUGCCCAAUUCUCAAUUUUUUUUUAUCCCCGCCCUUCCAGGACUUCAUAAACUCUAAAACAGAUAAUCUCUCUGACCAGCUACAUAUACCUCAAAGUGGAGACAUGGCAGGAUACAAACCAUUUGGUCACUGUUUUGUCCUAUAUAGUCUAUCU